rnacentral:rRNA from 1 species
GUGAGGAAUUUUCCGCAAUGGGCGAAAGCCUGACGGAGCAAUGUCGCGUGAAGGAUGAAGGCCUAUGGGUUGUAACUUCUUUUCUCAGAAAAGAAUUAUGACGGUAUCUGAGGAAUAAGCAUCGGCUAACUCUGUGCCAGCAGCCGCGGUAAGACAGAGGAUGCAAGCGUUAUCCGGAAUGAUUGGGCGUAAAGCGUCUGUAGGUUGUUUAAAAAGUAUUCUGUCAAAGAUUAGGGCUUAACCCUAGAUAGGCAGAAUAAACUUUUAAGCUAGAGUUUGGUAGAGGCAGAGGGAAUUCCCGGUGGAGCGGUGAAAUGCGUAGAUAUCGGGAGGAACACCAAAGGCGAAGGCACUCUGCUGGGCCAAUACUAACACUGAGAGACGAAAGCGAGGGGAGCAAAUGGGAUUAGAAACCCCAGUAGUCC